CACCUCGAUGUCGGCUCAUCGCAUCCUGGGGCUGGAGCAGGUCCCAAGGGUUUGGCUGUUCGCCAAUUAAAGCGGUACGCGAGCUGGGUUCAGAACGUCGUGAGACAGUUCGGUCCUUAUCCGCUGUGGGCGUCAGGAAGUUUGAGGAAAUCUGUCCCUAGUACGAGAGGACCGGGAUGGACGUACCUCUAGUGCACCAGUUGUGUCGCCAGAUGCAUCGCUGGGUAGCUAUGUACGGCAGGGAUAACCGCUGAAAGCAUCUAAGCGGGAAGCCCAUUCCAAGAUGAGACUUCCCUCUACUUCGGUAGCUGAAGGGUCCUUGGAGACUACAAGGUCGAUAGGCAGGAGGUGUAAGUCCAGUGAUGGGCUCAGCCGACCUGUACUAAUCACCCGUGAGGCUUGAUCAUAAAG
rnacentral:rRNA from 1 species